ensembl:lncRNA
GUAUCUGCGCCCUGGGGAAGUCUCAUGGUCCCCCACCGUAUCCCAGACUGCAGGGCUGGCUGAGGCUCUCCUUGACUCCUGGGCAGGGCCUGGUGGGGUGAAGGCUUCCAUGAAGGAAGUAAGAACCCCAUCUGGGGCAGAGCUGGUGACUGAGAUAGAGGGGUCUGCAGUCUCUUCAGGGGGGCCUGCUUUAUCUGCAGUUUGCUUAUUCUCACUUCUCCACUCAUGUUCUAUUUAUCUUGAAAGGGACUAGGAAAGGAUGACAUAAUUACAGGCAACUCUAGGCAGAGGGGGUCUCGAGGGCUCUUUUCCAUGGUCCUGUUCCUGGACUUAGGGUUUCUGUGUUGCUUUCCAAAUCAGGGCAUCCUAGGGCCGGCUCCUAAACUGUCUGCCUCCAUGAAGUCCGCCUUAUAUGGUUCUUCCUGAUUUGUAGCUGGAGGUGAGCUUGGAGACUGUCUUACCUGCUCUCAUGUUGCUAGUUGGGUCUGUAGGGCAGGGGAUUGAUGCCCCUCUUGACUGAGACCACCCUCGGCCUUAGCAGAAGGCCAGCCCCCCAUGGAACAGAAGAGAUAGGGUGGCAGCUAUGCCUGGCAGAUGAGAGGAGGGCCCUUCUGCCUUGAGGCCUUCAGAGGGCUCAUCCCUUUGGCCCUCUGCUUACCCUUCAUAACCCAGUGACCCUUAGCAUUUCCUCUCAUUUGGCACAGAGACCCAUCCUCCCCUCAGGGUCUUCAUUGAGUGUUUGGAGAUAUAGAGACUGAUAGAACUCCAGGAGGACUCCUAUCCCCUGCCUCUUUUUGGCCCUAAAUAAAGCCAUCCACAAAGUCCUUGUCCCUAAGGAGCCAUGUUGGUCUUGUCUGUGCCAGGGGUAGUCAUAGCUGCUAUUCUUUGCAGUGGCUUCAUCGUCCCUUCUUUCCCAUUUCUGCUGGAUGUGGGGAGCACAGUCAGGUCAGCAGCCAGGUGCCAUCAUUUGGGAGCAUGUGAGCUUGGAUGCUCUGGCCAGGUUUUUGUAGCCACCCAGAAUGGUCCUGACUCUCCCCCAUUGGCUGCUCUGGCCAAACUGUGGAAUGGGUCUCCAUCUUGACCAUCUCCAGGAGCAGGGUGAAUGGGAAAUCCACUUGGGGUGGACUUCAAGCAGGCACAGAGGGAAACAGCCUUGGUCAGCAUCACAGACCUCGACAGAGCCGUGCUUCUGUUACAGAGGCCUCUCUGUUCCAGGUUCAGGCCCAUGCAGGUUUUAGGGGCAGGUGAAGGCUCCCAGGAGAGGGGGGCCAUGUGCCUGCACGCCUGGGUGCAUGCCCGCAGGAGGGGUGAGUACUGAACGUGCUCUGAGUCACUCACUGAGUCAUGGCUCGGCUGCCACAGAACAUUGUUAUAUAGACAUAGAGAAGAAAAACCUGGCACAAGAAGAUAGGAAAUUCUGUCUUUGCUCCAAACCAUGACCAAGAAUGGAGAUUCCAACACCAGCAAGAAUUUGUGAUCACUUAACUUGGGUUAUGGCCAUAAUUGCUGCAUAGAACAUUUGUAAUUCAGUUUGAUCAAUUUUUUCCUAAUUUUUUCUUAAGACUG